rnacentral:rRNA from 1 species
GAUCCUGGCUCAGGAUGGACGCUAGCUACAGGCUUAACACAUGCAAGUCGAGGGGCAGCAUUUUAGUUUGCUUGCAAACUAAAGAUGGCGGCCGGCGCACGGGUGAGUAACACGUAUCCAACCUGCCGAUAACUCAGGGAUAGCCUUUCGAAAGAAANAUUAAUACCUGAUGGCAUAGGAUUAUCGCAUGAUAAUCCUAUUAAAGAAUUUCGGUUAUCGAUGGGGAUGCGUUCCAUUAGG